GCCUGCAUUGCACAGUGGUAGUGCGUUGCACUUGUAAUGCAAAGGUCGCCGGUUCAAUUCCGGCUGCAGGCA
rnacentral:tRNA from 1 species